rnacentral:rRNA from 1 species
CGGUAAUACAGAGGGUGCGAGCGUUAAUCGGAAUUACUGGGCGUAAAGCGCACGUAGGCGGCUUGGCAUGUCGGGUGUGAAAUCCCCGGGCUCAACCUGGGAACUGCAUCCGAAACUGCCUUGCUAGAGUAUGGGAGAGGGAAGUGGAAUUUCCGGUGUAGCGGUGAAAUGCGUAGAUAUCGGAAGGAACAUCAGUGGCGAAGGCGACUUCCUGGACCAAUACUGACGCUCAGGUGCGAAAGCGUGGGGAGCAAACAGGAUUAGAUACCCUGGUAGUCCACGCCCUAAACGAUGACAACUGGAUGUCGGGAGGGUUUGCCUUCCGGUGUCGUAGCUAACGCGUUAAGUUGUCCGCCUGGGAAGUACGGCCGCAAGGUUGAA